rnacentral:rRNA from 1 species
GNAGGGGGCAAGCGUNAUCCGGAUCUACUGGGUGUAAAGGGAGCGUAGACGGCGAUGCAAGCCAGAUGNGAAAGCCCGGGGCUCAACCCCGGGACUGCAUUUGGAACNGCGUGGCNGGAGUGUCGGAGAGGCAGGCGGAAUNCCUAGUGUAGCGGUGAAAUGCGUAGAUAUUAGGAGGAACACCAGUGGCGAAGGCGGCCUGCUGGACGAUGACUGACGUUGAGGCUCGAAAGCGUGGGGAGCAAACAGGAUUAGAUACCCUGGUAGUCCACGCCGUAAACGAUGACUACUAGGUGUCGGGUGGCAAGGCCAUUCGGUGCCGCAGCAAACGCAAUAAGUAGUCCACCUGGGGAGUACGUUCGCAAGAAUGAAACUCAA